UACGAAGGGGGCUAGCGUUGUUCGGAAUUACUGGGCGUAAAGCGCACGUAGGCGGAUUGUUAAGUGAGGGGUGAAAUCCCAGGGCUCAACCCUGGAACUGCCUUUCAUACUGGCAAUCUCGAGUCCGAGAGAGGUGAGUGGAAUUCCGAGUGUAGAGGUGAAAUUCGUAGAUAUUCGGAGGAACACCAGUGGCGAAGGCGGCUCACUGGCUCGGUACUGACGCUGAGGUGCGAAAGCGUGGGGAGCAAACAGGAUUAGAUACCGGGUAGUCC
rnacentral:rRNA from 1 species